rnacentral:pre_miRNA from 1 species
UAAGUAAAUUUAGUACUGGGUUGGCACAGAGUAGUACUAUGUAAAAUUCUAUUCCAUAGUACGACCCAUGUCGGCCCAGUAAGAGAUUUCAAUU